rnacentral:rRNA from 1 species
AACGUAGGAUCCGAGCGUUAUCCGAAUUUACUGGGCGUAAAGCGCGUGCAGGCGGUUCGGUAAGUUGGAUGUGAAAUCUCCCGGCUCAACUGGGAGAGGUCGUUCAAUACUGUCGGACUAGAGGGUGGUAGAGGGAGGUGGAAUUCCCGGUGUAGUGGUGAAAUGCGUAGAUAUCGGGAGGAACACCAGUGGCGAAGGCGGCCUCCUGGACCAUUCCUGACGCUCAGACGCGAAAGCUAGGGGAGCAAACGGG